AGAUGCCCUUGUAUCGGUACCGCUUCCAACCACACCGCACUCUGCGUUGUAAAACCAAACAAGAAAUACCGCUAACUAUUUCAUUGGUGACUCGUCAUUUUUUUUUUGGUAUUUUUUUUUUAAAUCGCAGACUACUCUCCCUUCAAUCAAUAUUUCUCUAUCAUUCGCCCUCGAUUUUAUACACUUUAUUUUUUGGUGCUCGAGUCCUCUCAUCUUCGGCUCUGCUCUCUCCACUCUCUGUGUGCGUGUCCUGGUGACGGUGACGAUAAACUUUUGGAAUAGGAGAGAGAGAGAGAGAGAGAGAAAAAAAACGCUUUCUCCCUUUUUACAAUAAAAAUUAAAUUCCCAGAAGGGUUGAAGUCGUUUGUACAUUGUUAUUAAAUAUAUUCUAUGGUAAUUGCUGUUUGUCAGUUGAAACGCUGAGCUAUGACAUAGUCAAACAGCUGGAGAUGGUGUUGGCUUUCUGCAAGGGAAAAAGUUGCGACAGAAGCAGCGGGCAAUUAGAGCCGGCUAAGUUCAACACUCUCUCUCGGGUUUCACAAUGACAAGGACAAUCUGCACGUGUGUGACAAAAUAAUACAACUAAGAUGGAAAAGCGCGCAAGAACUAAGCGACGGGCGCACUAAUGAAUUGCACUCUAGUUGCACUCUAUCAGACGCAAAUUCAAUCAGCUACCUAGGAAGAAAAACGACAAAAUCAAUUCUACGCUACCUAAGAGUCAAUCACAUUAUUGCAACGGUAAAUUGAGGGCAAAUAACAAUCAAAAGAGACAAAAUAUUGACCAUUAGUGCCUUAAUUUGUCUCAUGGUUAUCCUCUAUAAUUCAAUUUUACUCGAUUUAUUCUGCUCCUGAAUAGAGUGUCUCACCUUUAGUUUUGCUGUUACCUACCGUGGAAAAAAGAUAGAAGACAGUGGCAGAGCGAUUGUCAAAAACAGAAUGGGUCACGAUUAAAUGGACAUUGACGCUGUGCUGGGAUGUGCGACUAUUUCUAUCUAAUAGUUUAGAGAGAGUCGAGAGAUGGGAUGGGGGCAGGAGAUGGGCCACUAACGGCGAGUGUCCUAAUGCCCACCGAAGCAAGCAGGAAAUAGAGAGUGCAACUACUGGGUGUGCAUUCCGUACGUAAUGUCCAUUUAAUGAUGGUUAUUAGCUGAUUUUAACUACUGGAGAGUCAAUUAAUCAUCUCAGUAGUUUCUUCAUUAGUCAGAACGAUUAAUUUGGAAUGGUGAAUUUUGAUUCUUUUGCUGAAUGAAAUGGCUAAUUGCA